GCUCAGCUGGCUGCUGCUGCCGCUGGAGCUCAUUUGAAUGCGCGGACCAGGCGGCGUGUUUGCCCCCCUUUUCCCUCUUGGAUGGACGGAAGAGUCCCAGUAGCGCGGGAAGAAGGACCGGGAACAAUCCUCACAGUCACUCCACGACCAAGCGGAUAACAGCUGCUACUUCUCACCGAACCUCCUUCCACCUCCAUCUUCCCCGACACUUCGGCGGGGUGUCCUCCGACGGCCAUGUGUCGCUCGCCCCGUGACAUGAGACGCUGCUUGGCGGCGUGUUGAACACCCGGGGAGGUGGGGGAGGACAGGUGGUGCGGGAGUAGGGACCGAGGACGUAAAAGGCGGAGGAGGAGCGUCCGGACUCGGACACAAAAGCCCCAGUUGUCUCGGGGGGGAUGCGUGGACAGGUGCGCACUUGGAGUUGGGAUUCGAACUUCCUUGACUAUAACACGGAUUUCCCCCGCACGGCAUGACGGAAACUCUCCCCAGCUUCCUUUCGGCUCAACAUUCAUAAAGAUGACAUCAGGAGAGGCUGCUACUUCACCGCUUUGAGUCUCCGUGCAAUUUACAGCGGGGAUGGAAACGCUCCAGCGGCAGACAGUUUAACACAGGUUGCUGCUGCACUGUGUCGAUGCCCAUCACUCAUCGUCAGGCAGUUAGACCACCUGUCGCUUUCCACUCAAAGUGCCCCCUUAACUCUACACUCGGGUGAGUACCGAAUCCGAU